rnacentral:rRNA from 1 species
GAAGAGCCCAGCGCCGAAUCCCCSAUCCCCUGCGGUCGUGGGAAAUGUGGCGUUCAGGAGUGAGCGUGCCGGGAUCGGACUGCGCAGCAAGUCCCCCUGACCGGGGCCUAUCCAGAGCGGGUGCGAGGCCCAUAGCCGCGCGGUCCGUCUCGGAUGCGAUCUCCUAGGAGUCGGGUUGCUUGGGAGUGCAGCCCUAAUCGGGUGGUAAACUCCACCUAAGGCUAAAUACCGCCGUGAGACCGAUAGCAAACAAGUACCGUGAGGGAAAGUUGCAAAGAACUUUGAAGAGAGAGUUCAAGAGUACGUGAAACUGCUCAGAGGUAAACGGGUGGGCCCUCGAAAUCCUGUGGCGAGAGGAUUCAGUCUGGUGCGGUGGACGCGACCGGUCGGAAGAGGCAGGGCUUCCCGAGACUGGGGCCGUUCGACCUCGCGUCAUCCGCCGCGCCCGACGCAUUUGACUCUCGCCCGAAGGACGCUGCAGCCGGUCGGGCAAUCGUUGCAAGCGUGACGGCCUGGAGGCCCGGGAACCGCAGGUGGCCGGUGGCGCGCCCAGUGCGCGUCGCCGGUUGUUAGCAUCCCGGGCGGUGGCCCGUCGCCCGACCGARGUGUCGACAGACCAGCAUUGGUCUCCGCGUCUCCUCCCCCAGACGAAGCGGGACAGACGGCCGCUGGCGAGGAUCGCCGUUCUUGCCGCACUC